AGGGGUCGGCAAAAAGACGCUUACGGGAACCCAAUUCCUCAAACACACACUUAUGGGAACCCUGUUCGACAACCUGUACAACGGUACGGUUAGAUAAUUACCAAAAUUCCAUAAUUGCACACCGCUUAAAGGUAAAACUAAACCGGUAUUUAUAUUUAUCGAACCAAUAUUACCUAACCGGAACGAUUUCGGUAAUUUACCAAAAAUAACGUACCAAAGGAAGGACAGG
rnacentral:lncRNA from 1 species